rnacentral:rRNA from 1 species
CGCAUCUGUGCAUGCAGCAUAUCAAUAAGCGGAGGAAAAGAAACUAACAAGGAUUCCCCUAGUAACGGCGAGUGAAGCGGGAAGAGCUCAAAUUUGAAAUCUUAAAGGGUUUCCCUUUACGAAUUGUAGUUUAAAGAAGUGUUUUCUGUUGAGGUUUUGGUAAAAGUUCUUUGGAAUAGGACAUCAUAGAGGGUGAGAAUCCCGUAUUUGACCUUUACUUUCAACUUUGUGAUACACUUUCAAAGAGUCGGAUUGUUUGGGAAUGCAGUCCAAAAUGGGUGGUAAAUUUCAUCUAAAGCUAAAUAUUGGCGAGAGACCGAUAGCGAACAAGUACCGUGAGGGAAAGAUGAAAAGAACUUUGAAAAGAGAGUUAAACAGUACGUGAAAUUGUCAAAAGGGAAGCGUUUGACACCAGUGUUGUUUUUCUGAAAAUCAAUUAAAGAACUGUUUAUGUUAAGCUGUUUAGACUUUAUCAGCUAAUCUGUUUAGUUUUGAGCUUUUCUUUAAUGCACUUUUCAGUUAACAAGUCAACAUCAAUUUCUUUUGCUGUAAGAAAGCUUGAGGAAGGUGGCUUGAGAUUCGUCUUAAGUGUUUAUAGCCUCUUGCCUAUGCAGUCGGAGAGAUUGAGGUCUGCAGCGUAGAUCCUUCGGGGCUAAAUGCAUUUGUGCUAAGUUAUAGCAUUUUAUAGACAACUUGUUGACUAUGAUUUGUCUUGUAGCUUACUCGCUUAUGUUAUUUUACCUACGCUUAGGAUGUGAGUCAUCACACAUCUCU